GCCGGGAUCGCCUAAUCUGGUAUGGCACUGGUCUGCUAAACCAGCGGAGCUUUGCUCCUUGUGGGUUCAAAUCCCACUCCCGGCG
rnacentral:tRNA from 1 species